GAUGAACGCUGGCGGCGUGCCUAAUACAUGCAAGUCGAGCGAACGGACGAGAAGCUUGCUUCUCUGAUGUUAGCGGCGGACGGGUGAUAAACCCUUGGUUAACCUCCUUUUAAGACGGGGUUAACUCCGGAAAACCGGAGCUAAUACGGGAAAAUAUUUUGAACCGCAUGGUUCAAAAGUGAAAAACGGUUUUGCGUUCACUAUUAGAUGGAUCCGCGCUGCAUUAGCUAGUUGGUAAGGUAACGGCUUACCAAGGCAACGAUGCAUAGCCGACCUGAGAGGGUGAUCGGCCACACUGGAACUGAGACACGGUCCAGACUCCUAUGGGAGGCAGCAGUAGGGAAUCUUCCGCAAUGGGCGAAAGCCUGACGGAGCAACGCCGCGUGAGUGAUGAAGGUCUUCGGAUCGUAAAACUCUGUUAUUAGGGAAGAACAUAUGUGUAAGUAACUGUGCACAUCUUGACGGUACCUAAUCAGAAAGCCACGGCUAACUACGUG
rnacentral:rRNA from 1 species